GCUGGGUGUGGUGGCUCAUGCCUGUAAUCCUAGCACUUUGGGAGGCUGAGGCAGGUGGAUCACCUGAGGUCAGGAGUUCAAGACCUGCCUGGCCAACAUGGUGAAACCUUGUCUCUA
rfam:Pan troglodytes isolate Yerkes chimp pedigree #C0471 (Clint) chromosome 17, whole genome shotgun sequence.